ACCGGGUGCGGUGGUGCACAUCUGUAAUCCCAGCAGCUUGGGAGGCUGAGGCAGGAGGAACACAAGUUCAAAGCCAGCCUCAGCCAUCGCAAGGUGCUAAGCAACUCAGUGAGACCCUGUCUCUA
rnacentral:sRNA from 1 species